UUUAUUUUGAUUCCAAGAAAGAGUAGCUUCAACUAAAGGAAUGGGUGUAAAUAAUUAAUGUAGCAGUUAACCCAGCUAGUGGUCUUAAACAAUGAUAGAAAUAUUAAUUUAGGGAUGAGUUAAUAAGAUGGCUAACUAGGUGCCAGCAGCUGCGGUCAAACCUAGAUCUUUUUUCUUUCCAACACAGAAGGGGUUUACUAGUAAACCCACUUUUUCUAGUUAAUCAUUGGUGAAAUAUAGAUUAAUUAUUAAAUCUUUUAAAUGGGAAAUCUUAUGGUAAAGUUAAGAGUGAGACUAGGAUUAGAUACCCUACUAUUCUAACCUCAUCCUCUUCUUCUGAGCAGUAAGACAAAAAAUUCCGAAACUCAAUAAAUAUGGCGGUAGUUUUACUUAUUAGGGGAACUUACCACAUAAUUGAUAACCAGCAAGGAUUCAUACCUACUCUCAUAGUAAGUAUACCGCCGUCUCCAGGUGCCUUCCAAAGAGGGUACCCUAAUUGGAUCUCCCAUUAAGACAGGUCAUGGUGCUACACAUGAGUAGGGGUUAAGGCGAGUUACAAUAUUUUUUUAUUUUGAAAUGGUUAAUAAAUAAACCACGAAAGAGGACUUAAUUGUAAAUCUCAUAUUGAUAUAAAUAGACAUUGAACCAAUAGUGAACUGUGUACAAAUCGCCCGUCAUUCUCCUUUAAUAGGAGACAAGUCGUAACAUAGUAGAUGUGGUGGAAACGGCAUCU
rnacentral:ncRNA from 1 species